rnacentral:rRNA from 1 species
AACGAACGCUGGCGGCAUGCCUAGCACAUGCAAGUCGAACGAGACCUUCGGGUCUAUUGUCGCACGACUUCGUAACGCGUGGGAACCUUCCCUUAUGGUUGGAAUAACUCUCCGACUGGGGUGCUAAUACCGGAUAAGGUCUUCUAACCAAUGAUUUAUCGCCUUUGGUUGUUCCCUCGUUGGAUUAGCUAUUGGUUAGGGUAAAAGCAUACCAAGGCGACGAUCCAUAGCUGGGAUGAGAGGCUGAUUAGCAACACUGCGACUGAGACACGGCCCAGAAUCCUACGCGAGGCAGCAGUGGGGAAUAGAGGAACACGGGGGGAAGGAUGAUCCAGUAAGGCCGGGUGAGCGAUGAAGGUAUUAGGGUUGUAAAGCUCUUGUAACCGGGCUGAUAAUGACAGUACCGGGAGAAUAAGCUCCGGCUAACUACGUG